UACGGAGGGUGUAAGCGUUAUCCGGAUUUACUGGGUUUAAAGGGUGCGCAGGCGGUUAUGUAAGUCAGUGGUGAAAUCUCUAGGCUUAACCUGGAAAUUGCCGUUGAUACUAUAUAUCUUGAAUGCUGUGGAGGUAAGCGGAAUAUGUCAUGUAGCGGUGAAAUGCUUAGAUAUGACAUAGAACACCUAUUGCGAAGGCAGCUUACUACGCAGAUAUUGACGCUCAUGCACGAAAGCGUGGGGAUCAAACAGG
rnacentral:rRNA from 1 species